rnacentral:rRNA from 1 species
UACGGGGGGAGCAAGCGUUGUUCGGAUUUACUGGGCGUAAAGGGCGCGUAGGCGGUCACGACAAGUCAGUUGUGAAAUCUCCGGGCUUAACUCGGAACGGUCAACUGAUACUGUCGGGCUAGAGUGCAGAAGGGGCAACUGGAAUUCUCGGUGUAGCGGUGAAAUGCGUAGAUAUCGAGAGGAACACCUGCGGCGAAGGCGGGUUGCUGGGCUGACACUGACGCUGAGGCGCGAAAGCUAGGGGAGCGAACGGG